ACUCUUGAGGGUGGGGAUUUUUACCCUCAUUCACAGAUGAGGAAGCUGAGACCCACUGGGUGAAUUAACUGGCCUCUGGUCACGUGGCCUACCCUAUUCCAGGAAAGAUUCUCCUUCCCUCACAUCUUCCCGCUUCCUUCUGGAGCUGGGUGCUGGAGGAGGGUUCAGGAGUUUUUUUAGGUAGGAAUAACAUAAGAGCUGUCUGGGACCCAGACGUCAAGGAGCCAAUGACUGUGGCCUAAAGGCCUGGGGUGACCUGAGUGGGAGCAGAGAGUAGCCGGAUGGUGGCUGAGCUGGAGGCAAAACGUUGACAUGAAUGGGGGAGCCUUUGUCCCUUUGAUUCUGUUUUAACUGGAGAAUUCACCCUUUGCACUUAGGAAAUGAUUGCCUAUCAGUUUGUUUAACAUCAGUUUCAUCAGAGCAGGGGGUCUAUUGAAUGGUCUCUUUUGGUUUCUCAGGCCACGUCAGACAAGCAUUGUUCCCUGGAGGCAUUGCAGGGGCCCUGCCUCUGAAGCCAAUGAUGGCGCGUUGCUGAGUCUCUGUUCUGACACGGAUGUGUGCUCUGAGAGUCAGGGCGAGUCCCUGGGCUGAACCGCUUAUGGGCCACUCAAGGAAGAGGGAGAUGGGCAGACUCCUGCUCAUCCUUCAGUCCUUGGCUCACGCAUCACUCCAAGAGGAAGCCUUCUGCACUCUUCUCCAGCAGAGUUGGUGACCCGGCACUGCGUCAUUUUGUCAGGCCUUGCCCUGUGCUCUGUCCCUGCCCUGGCCACGUGUGGGUCAAAUGCAUCGUUCCGUAUCUGUCUCCCCACCAGCCUCGGAACAACUGUCUCCCCCAUCUCUGCAGCCCUAGAAAGCUGCACAAAGUCUGAAUACAGAAAUGUCUGGAAGAAAUGCGUAUACCCUCCCAUGUAGGGCAGUUUGCUGUAAAUGUCCCUUGAGUGGUUAUGGCUCAAGGAGUCCAGAGAAAACUAAAUCCUCAUGGACUUAGGGGGUCAAGGAGGGCGUCCAGGCAGAGGUAGGCCACAACAGCGUUCUCAGGAACACGUCAUCUCAUUGGAUCCACAGUGUAAUCCUAUGAGGAUGAUGAAGCAGAAGGGGCAAGUGGCCAUUGACAGCGGGAACUGUAGAGACCUACUGCUCACAGUGUGGUCCGUGGAACAGCCCCACCAACAACGCCUGGGAUCUUGAUAGAAACGCAACAUUCCAGUGCUCCCCUCACCCCUGUCUUCCCUCCCCAGAGACCCACUGGAUCAGGAUCUACAUUUUAACAAGAUCCCCAUGCGAUUUGUGUGCACAUUAGCGUUUCAUCCCUCUCGUUCAUGGGGAUCAUGUCCCCCUUACUAUCCUGGAGCUGGGAUGAGCCCCUCACCUCAAACCAACCCAAGAGUGGUCAUGGGGAGUUGUUGCUGGCCUCACAGCCCAGGCCUGUGGAGGGUUCUUCAUCCCGUCAUAGGUUGAUAAAGGUUGAUAGGCUUGGGUUCUGAU
rnacentral:lncRNA from 1 species